rnacentral:rRNA from 1 species
UACGUAGGGCGCAAGCGUUGUCCGGAAUUAUUGGGCGUAAAGAGCUCGUAGGCGGUUUGUCGCGUCUGCCGUGAAAGUCCGGGGCUCAACUCCGGAUCUGCGGUGGGUACGGGCAGACUAGAGUGAUGUAGGGGAGACUGGAAUUCCUGGUGUAGCGGUGAAAUGCGCAGAUAUCAGGAGGAACACCGGUGGCGAAGGCGGAUCUCUGGGCCGUAACUGACGCUGAGGAGCGAAAGCAUGGGGAGCGAACAGG